rnacentral:rRNA from 1 species
GCUGGCACCUCCGGUGUCCGCGUUGUAAUCUCGAGACGUGUUUUCCGUGCGGCUCUAUGGACAAGUCCCUUGGAAUAGGGCAUCGUAGAGGGUGAGAAUCCCGUACUUGCCAUGGAAGAACCGUGCUUUGCGAUACACGCUCUAAGAGUCGAGUUGUUUGGGAUUGCAGCUCAAAAUGGGUGGUAGACUCCAUCUAAAGCUAAAUAUCGGGGAGAGACCGAUAGCGAACAAGUACCGUGAGGGAAAGAUGAAAAGCACUUUGGAAAGAGAGUUAAAAGUACGUGAAAUUGUCGAAAGGGAAGCACUUGAAGUCAGCCAUGCUGCUUGAGACUCAGCCUGGCCUUUGGGCUUGGUGUAUUUCUCGGUGGCAAGCCAGCAUUGGUUUGGGUCGUCGGAGAAGCGCAUAGGGAAUGUAGCGUCCCCGGACGUGUUAUAGCCUUAUGCAGGAUACGACGACCUGGAUCAAGGAACGCAGUGUGCCCUCUGGG